rnacentral:lncRNA from 1 species
UCUUUGAUAGUAUUUCAUAAGUAAACUAAUCAAGUUGUUCUGGCUUUUGGUCUUUCAUGAGGUUGCAGUCAAGAUUUUGGCUGAGUUGCAUUUCUACCCUCAGAUUAAGCAACAGGAACUGUUCUAAGCUUACUCAUGUGGCUACUUGUAGAAGAUUUUACUUUCUUUCCAUGUAGGUCAAACCAUAGGGCUUUCCCAAGAUCAAGUUGUCUAAAAGAGACUUUUUCGAAAUUGAAUGAUUUAAGAGAGAGAGACAGAGGAAUCAAGAGACAAGAUCACUUCAUCUCCCUUUGAUUUGAUUCUCUUACCGACUUGGCACACCUUGUAGAUGCUUCACUUCUUACUAAUGGCAACUGCUAGCUAUUGACCAAAUAUGACAUGACUAGUGAAUCAAAACUUUUUACAUCAUUAUAGUUCAGUAUUGGUAAGUGCAGUUUUAUGUGCUAUAAAUUUGGUCUGCAAAUGACAUUUGAACUGUAGUGACCAACAAGAACAAAAAUCAUAAUUUAAAUGUCCAACAAUACAAUCAAAGUUUACAUAUCUCAUAAUAUUGUUGGGUAAAAUAAUUUUACUGAUUUAGAAUUAAAUGAAGAAGAUAGUUCACAAAUAUUCCUGUACUUAAUGGAUUUCUCUGUUCUUUCACUGGUAUUUUUAUUUUACUUUGUAACAAAAUUGCAAAAAUGAAAUUAAUCUUAUGUAGUAAAUAUUUGACCAGUGAAUAAACAAGCCAAAUAAGAUACUGAUUUUAUUUACAUGUAUUUUUUUGUUGUUUAGCUGUUGCAUUUGUCAAGCACACCUGUAAGGACAGUAAUUGCUCUUUAUCCUGCUUUGUCAGUUGGCAGUAGCAGAAAACAGAUAAUAUUGUGUAUUAUGUUCACCGUUUUUAAUUUACUUUUAUGACCUAGAACACUUAUGGACUUACUUUUUUUUCUAUAGGUUGCUUUUAUAAAACAACUUUCCAAAAGAUAUGCACCUGUAGCAAAAAAUAAAAUAGAUUUGUGAAAUGUGAAUUAUUAGGAAAUAUGGAUAGUCAGAAGAUGGAUAAGUUUUAAGAAAUAUUAUGAGAAUAUAAACUAAACAAAUUUGAAAAAUUCAGGAUAUCUUAUGGCUUUUCUUAUUUUUGCCAAGGCCUCAAAAGUGAUGUACUCAUUCUAUACAGGAUACCCUAGUAGAAACCAGGGAAAACAUAAAAUACAGAGCUGUGUAUUGAGAAUUUAUCAAAUUCUUAUUUGGAUAUAGGUCUUUUUAUUUUUUUGGCUAGAGCAUAUGACUACAUAGUUAUUUAUAUGCAUGGAGUAGUUCUGUUCUUUCUUACUGGCUCCCUUUCCCAUUCUCUUCAGUGGUUGUAUUAUAUAUUUACUCCUAUCCUUGAAUCCUUGGCCUGCCUUUGACUGAAACUUUCGCUUUGACCUUGUAUAUGCUCAGUCUUCUUUACUCAGAAAGUGGACAGAAAGGUGGUAUAUUUUAGCUGCUGCUUUCUCCUCUGCUAGCACAGACACAUAACAGUAAUCUAUACCCAUUGUUUCACUCUUAUGCCUUUCAGUGAGUAUUUUCUUUUCUUUUAGUAGGCUUUAUCUUUUAGAGCAGUUUUUGAUUCACAACAACAACAAAGAAAACUAGGUGGCAAAGAAAUUUCCCAUAUAUGUAUUGUGUACACAUGUACACAGCCUUCCCCAUUACCAACAUCCCCAGAGUAGCACAUUUGUUACAACUGAUGAAUCUACAUUGACAUAUCAUUAUCACCCAAAGACCAUAGUUCACAUCGAGGUUCACUUUUGGUAUUGUACAUUCUGUGGAUUUGCACAAAUUUAUAUGACAUUGUAUACCAUUAUAGUAUCAUAUGUAGUAGUUUUGCCACCCUAUAAGUCCUCUGUGCUUUGCCUGUUCAUCCGUCCCUUCCCAUAACUCCUGAAAACCAUGGAUCAUUUUACGGCCUCCAUAGUCUUGUCCUGUUUAGAAUUUGACAUAGUAAAAAUUACAUAGUAUGUAGACUUUUCAGGCU